rnacentral:rRNA from 1 species
GGAAGGGUGAAAAGUACCCCGGGAGGGGAGUGAAAGAGUUCCUGAAACCGGUCGCAUGCAAGCCGUCAGAGCCUGUGUGGUGAUGGCGUGCCUUUUGAAGAAUGAGCCUGCGAGUUAGUGCUAUGUGGCGAGGUUAACCCGUGAGGGGAAUCCGUAGCGAAAGCGAGUCCUAAUAGGGCGAUUGAGUCGCAUGGUCUAGACCCGAAGCGAAGUGAUCUAUCCAUGGCCAGGCUGAAGCGCGGGUAAGACCGCGUGGAGGGCCGAACCCACUUGGGUUGAAAACCGAGGGGAUGAGCUGUGGAUAGGGGUGAAAGGCUAAACAAACCUGGAAAUAGCUGGUUCUCUCCGAAAACUAUUUAGGUAGUGCCUCAAGUAUCACCAUCGGGGGUAGAGCACUGUUAUGGCUAGGGGGUCAUCGCGACUUACCAAACCAUUGCAAACUCCGAAUACCAGUACGUACUAUCCGGGAGACACACGGCGGGUGCUAACGUCCGUCGUGAAAAGGGAAACAACCCAGACCCACAGCUAAGGUCCCAAAUUCACUGCUAAGUGGAAAACGAUGUGGAAAGGCAUAGACAGCCAGGAGGUUGGCUUAGAAGCAGCCACCCUUUAAAGAAAGCGUAAUAGCUCACUAGUCGAGUCGGCCUGCGCGGAAGAUGUAACGGGGCUAAAUCAUUCACCGAAGCUGCGGACUUGUGCUUGCACAAGUGGUAGAGGAGCGUUCUGUAAGCCGUUGAAGGUAAACCGGGAGGUUUGCUGGAGGUAUCAGAAGUGCGAAUGCUGACAUGAGUAACGAUAAGGGGAGUGAAAAACUUCCCCGCCGAAAGACCAAGGGUUCCUAUCCCAUGCUAAUCAGGGUAGGGUGAGUCGACUCCUAAGGCGAGGCUGAAAAGCGUAGUCGAUGGGAAACGGGUUAAUAUUCCCGUACCGACCAAUACUGCGAUGGGGUGACGGAGAAAGCUAGGCAAGCGCGGCGUUGGUAGUCCGCGUGAAAGUAAGUAGGCUGAGAGACUAGGCAAAUCCGGUUUCUUAAGGCUGAGAUACGAGACGAGUGUCUAAGGACACGAAGUUGUUGACGCUAUGCUUCCAGGAAAAACCUCUAAGCUUCAGGUAUUGGUGAUCGUACCCGAAACCGACACAGGUGGUCAGGUAGAGCAUACCAAGGCGCUUGAGAGAACUCUGCUGAAGGAACUAGGCAAAAUAGUACCGUAACUUCGGGAGAAGGUACGCUCUUUGCUGUUAAGGACUUGCUCCGUAAGCAGCGAAGAGUCGCAGUGACCAGCUGGCUGCAACUGUUUAUUAAAAACACAGCACUGUGCAAACACGAAAGUGGACGUAUACGGUGUGACGCCUGCCCGGUGCCGGAAGGUUAAU